CCUACGGGAGGCAGCAGUAGGGAAUAUUGCACAAUGGGGGAAACCCUGACGCAGCGACGCCGCGUGAGUGAAGAAGUAUCUCGGUAUGUAAAGCUCUAUCAGCAGGGAAGAAAAUGACGGUACCUGACUAAGAAGCCCCGGCUAACUACGUGCCAGCAGCCGCGGUAAUACGUAGGGGGCAAGCGUUAUCCGGAUUUACUGGGUGUAAAGGGAGCGUAGACGGCGCGGCAAGUCCGGUGUGAAAGUCCAUGGCUUAACCAUGGUACUGCUCUGGAAACUGUGGAGCUUGAGUGCGGGAGGGGCAGGCGGAAUUCCUAGUGUAGCGGUGAAAUGCGUAGAUAUUAGGAGGAACACCAGUGGCGAAGGCGACUUUCUGGACGAUAACUGACGUUGAGGCACGAAAGUGUGGGAGCAAACAGGAUUAGAUACCCGAGUAGUC
rnacentral:rRNA from 1 species